AAACACCUUGUGCCUUUUGGAUGCAACGUAUCGCACCACGAAGUACGCACUACCCUUGUUCUUUUUGGCGGUGAAAACCAACUACGGUUAUAGCGUAGUUGGGGAGUUUGUCGUACAAUUUGAGACCACUGCAGCAAUCAAGCAGGGAUUGUGUACCAUCCAGAAAUGGAUGUCUGAGGAAGGCAUUGCAUGGAAUCCGUAAUUUUUUAUGACAGAUUUUUCAGAACGUGAAAUCAAUGCCAUCGAACAGAUCUUUCCAGCAUGCACUGUCUUUCUCUGUGAUUUUCACAGAGAACAAGCAUGGACACGAUGGGUCCGGAAGAUAGAAAAUGGUGUUGCUUCGUGCAAGUAGAAAGUGCUCUCCAUGCUGAGAAGAUGUGCCCAUGCCACUGAGCCAUCAGAGUACAAUGCUGCAUUGGAAUACCUCAAGGCUUCUAAAGAAUGGCAGGAAAACCCAAAACUACAGAAGUGGUUCACCAAACAGUGGAUUCCACAUUCUAAGCGCUGGGUAUGGGGCAACCGUUGCAACAAAGGAGUUCAGGUCAACACCAACAACGGACUGGAGAGGCAGAAUGGGAUAUUCAAAUAUUCCUUCUUGGAAAAGAAGAACUACACCAGUAUUUCUGGAAUGAUUUCUAUUCUCAUUUUGGAAUACCUGCCUAACAGCAUGUGCAGACUUUUGCAAUUCUCUUCUGAUACAUCUUCCUGACUACCAGCUGCAAUGCCUCCAACAACUCCAGAACUCCGCGGCCAGACUUGUAACGCUCACUAAAGGCACCACUCACAUCUCACCCAUCAUUCAGGCACUGCACUGGCUUCCUGUCCGCCAACGCAUCAUCUUCAAAGUCAUUCUUCUCGUCAAGCACUUCACUGCACUGCACCCUCAUACAUACAAGACCUAGUUCACCUCUACGAACCACCACGACGACUCCGCUCUGCUCACACCCAACUUCUUUGCAUCCCACGUUCACGGCACUCCUGGGGAAGGCGUUCAUUUUCAAGUUCUGGCCCUGAACUGUGGAACUCACUCCCUCCUCACCUCCAUAUAUCAGAGAAGAUCUGACAGCAAUCGACUCACUGGGAAGGACAUAUGAUGAUGCCAUCCCACCCUAUCUGCAGAAUCGUCCAUCCUAUUUCAUCCGUCAUUGCAUGAGGAAAAUUGAGAUGGCAGGGACGCUAACAAAGGAUGAUGUCAUAAGAAAAUCAGAGCACUGCUUCCAGGUGAAAAGUGAGACGACAUGGCCAAGAACUUCAUACAAUGUUCAUCUUCAGACUGAGAAUGGCAUUCCCAAGUGUGAAUGCUGGGACUGGCGUUGGACUCAUCUCCCUUGCAAACACAUGUUUGCCGUGUUGGAGCUACUUCCAGGGACAACUUGGUCUGCUCUACCCGAGAAGUUUCGCAACUCUCCACUCUACACCUUGGACACAGAAGUUUGCGGUUUUCUUGAGGUGCCUGCCGACUAAGGUAUAGACUUGGGAGACCAUCAGCCCGAUCAAUUAGACCAGCCAGCUGAUGACACUAUGUUGGAGGAACUUCCAAAACGAGGCCAUUUGCCCUCUGCGAAAAAGCAAUUGGCCCUUAACUUACUUGAGUUCAGAUGAUGUACUAAACAUGAUGGACGACAAGUUGGGCCUGCUCCUAAUAAUCGUGCAAAUGAAGCUCCGGAAUGAAAGUGGCUUAGUUGAGGACCGACCUAAGAACACAGCAUCAAAGAAAAGGAGCCAGCCAUCACCCUCGAAUCUUCCACUGAGGAAGAAAAAGAAGAUAGCCAGAGUAGGAGCUGCUGCAGAGAGACUCCAAACAAAUAAGGAGCUCAUAACCAAGGCUGUAGAAAACAAAUCCUCACAAGGUCAACCUACUGAAGUACAGAUGGUUAUUCCUUCCAGUCAAUGUUAAUCAAUCACACUGGGUUCUUGUAGCUGCAGAUGUCACCAAGGGAGAAGUGUCAAUAUUGGACUCGCUUCCUAGACCGGAUACAUCCAAGUUCAUCCUUGAAAAGUUCAUGAGAUACAUGGAGUACCGAACCAAUGAAACUGGUGACCUUCAAGGAAAAGAGUGGAAGGUUGGACAUACCCAAUCUGCAAGGCAGAGUGAUGGGCAUUCUUGUUGCUCUUUUGUGAUGUUGAAUGCUCUGUCUCUGGUGCAAGGAUUUCAUACAAUAAAAAUGGGGAAGUAUGGAGAUAUAAUGAGAAAUCAUGUUUGGAACACUCUCAUUACACACGCCAAAACCUCUCUGCAGGGUGAUGCAGAGUGUGACAUGCCGUCUUGCUCCAGCAAGAAUGUAAGGGGCAAGACGGCAUCGACAUGGGCUAAAUGCGACGUCUGUGGACGGUGGAUGCACCUGCAGUGCCCUGUAUAAGUAGGCACUUCAAAAUGAAAUGUAAUCUCGUUGAACGCGAGGUUCGCUCACUGUCAGCAUAUAGCCAGCACACAAUAAAGCGUUUUCGCAAAGACGACGGAAGCAUAGACGAUGAGGAAUUUGGGCGAUACAGCUCUUCCGUCUUGUUUAGGGAACAAACGCUAUCAUGGCCACGUCAAUCGUAAAAAUUCCGGUUCGAGCAUGCACAGAUCGUUUUUUCGCUCGCGUUACCAUCGCCUUCACCUUUUCCGUCGUGUUUGCAAAACGCCCUAGUGUCUGUAGUGAAGCGAUGGACAGAAAGUUUGGCACACUUCCAAGUCGGUCCUCUCGGUUGAUCACGAUUUGCAUUCAUGAUUUUAGAGCUUUAGGAGCAGCAAACGGCCCCUGAUUGGUCAAUCGACUCAAAAUUUGGCUCAUCUUAUCUACAUACAUGCAUAAUUCAUAACUGUUUGUCGCUACUCUCCAGCUGCAAGGAAAGGUACUCUCCGUGGGGAAUGUAAACUUCUAAUGAUGUUUUGGGGUCAAAAUCUUCCAUGGAUCGUCAAGCGACAACGUAUAUCAACAAUUCCUCUUUUGGAAGAUUUUAUUAUUUGUUUUAAUGAAGUAUUAAUUGCUCGCCGGUUGCUAUAAAAUACAAAUUGUAUUUCAGAACUCAAAUUUUAACUUGAUGAAGUGCAGAAGGCGAUCAAUGGCCAUUGUUUUCCCCUAUCUCCUGUGCAGGAGUGUGCUUAACUACCGGUAGUUCAUUUUUCCACAGGGAUGAAAUGUGUGUUUUACCGGAAUGACUGUGUCUAGGGUAUUUCUUGUGUAAGCUCUAAAAUGGUGGAUUUUGAUGUAAAACAAUUAGAAAAUACAUAAAGAUACACGAGCAAAUGAAACAAAUUUAAAAUAUAAUACAUACUCUAUCUGAUACGAGCUAGCUAUGUAUAGUAUAUCUCAUAGAAAAAUACUUUGAAAGUACCAGCUAAAAACACAAAUAUUGACAUUUUCGUAAUAUUUAACUAACUUUCAUAACCAUCAGAAUUUAAUUAUGAACUUUAGGCACGGAUCGGAAAUGAAAUUACCCCAAAUUAUGGCCCUGUAACUAUUGUUAAUACCAUAAUCUCUAGGCUUACCAAAUUUUUCAUGAGUUUGUUAUUCGGUCCCACAAGUAGAUUAUGAUGCAAAGAAUAUGAUGCAAAGAAUAUAAUGCAUAGAAUAUGAUGUGGUGAUUUGAUAUCGAUGGUAUGUGAGCCUAUAUUUACGUUACAACUCUUGAAUUGAAGUUAUUAAUCGUUUGGGGCCUAAAUAAAUGUGCGACCCUAACUUGUUAAUUUUGUAUACCAAAUCGUUUUACGAAUGAAGGAUAGAAAUAAGUAUUUUUCUGAAGUUUAAAAAAGAAAAGGAAAGAAGUUAACAUUUUUCUUUGUAAUAUAUAGCACACCUGUAUCAUGGUAUAAACAAUGAGAAGUUAAUAGUAAAAUAAUUAAGGAUAUCAUUUUGAAGGGAGAAUAUUCUUAAUGUGAAGAAGGAUACGAGCUCACUUUAUACCAUUUAGAUUGUUUCUUAUUUUCUUUUCAUCAUUUUAUACUAUUUGCUAUUACAUGUAUAUUCAAAUCUUCAGACUAACCAUGUAAUAUGUUGCUUUAUUGAUUGUGGUGAAGUGCAUCCAAAGCAUUUAUAAUUCUGCGCUAGAUUGAAAGAAGUUUAUUAUUAGUAGUAUCAAACAUUCCUUUAAAUUUUUUGUAUUUUUUAAAUACCAAUGUGAUAUUUUGCUUGGAUCACUAUUAUUUUGAUGUUACUGAAUCUAGAAGUAAAAACAAUGGAGGUAUUUUAAACUUAUUUUCAAAUGUAUUAAGCUGAUGUAUGUUUUCAAAUGUGAAGAUAUCAGUAGGAUUCAGAAAAACUGUUUAUUUGACAGAUGGAUAGAGGGGAAAUAAAAGUUCAAUGUAAUGUCAUAUAAUUACAGUAGAAACUCAGUGUAUACAAAAAAUAUGAUGCAAUUAUACUAUAUAAUACAAGGCGAUAUUCCUCUUCAAAGACUUUACAUUCCAUCAAUUUCAACAUAACCUCUAUCGGAUUUCUGGGGCUCAACUCUAUAUUUAGCCCAUGUUCAUUCUUUUUUAUGCAAGUGACAUAACUUUUAUUUAUUUAUUUUUGAUUAAAAACAUGUUAAAGGUACUAUG